CUACGUGCCAGCAGCCGCGGUAAUACGUAUGUCACAAGCGUUAUCCGGAUUUAUUGGGCGUAAAGCGCGUCUAGGUGGUUAUGUAAGUCUGAUGUGAAAAUGCAGGGCUCAACUCUGUAUUGCGUUGGAAACUGCAUGACUAGAGUACUGGAGAGGUAAGCGGAACUACAAGUGUAGAGGUGAAAUUCGUAGAUAUUUGUAGGAAUGCCGAUGGGGAAGCCAGCUUACUGGACAGAUACUGACGCUGAAGCGCGAAAGCGUGGGUAGCAAACAGGAUUAGAUACCCUGGUAGUCCACGCCGUAAACGAUGAUUACUAGGUGUUGGGGGUCGAACCUCAGCGCCCAAGCUAACGCGAUAAGUAAUCCGCCUGGGGAGUACGUACGCAAGUAUGAAACUCAAAGGAAUUGACGGGGACCCGCACAAGCGGUGGAGCAUGUGGUUUAAUUCGACGCAACGCGAGGAACCUUACCAGCGUUUGACAUC
rnacentral:rRNA from 1 species